rnacentral:piRNA from 1 species
AGGAUAAUUUUGAAGACUCUGGUUGCC